rnacentral:rRNA from 1 species
UACGAAGGGGGCAAGCGUUGUUCGGAAUUACUGGGCGUAAAGGGCGCGUAGGCGGCUUAUCAAGUCAGGCGUGAAAUUCCCGGGCUCAACCUGGGGGCUGCGCUUGAUACUGAUGAGCUUGAAUGCGGGAGAGGAUAGUGGAAUUCCCAGUGUAGAGGUGAAAUGCGCAGAUAUCAGGAGGAACACCAAUGGCGAAGGCAGCUCGCUGGGACGUGACUGACGCUGAGACGCGAAAGCGUGGGGAGCAAACAGG